GACGAACGCUGGCGGCGUGCCUAAUACAUGCAAGUCGAGCGGACCACUUCGGUGGUCAGCGGCGGACGGGUGAGUAACACGUGGGCAACCUGCCUGUAAGACUGGGAUAACACCGGGAAACCGGUGCUAAUACCGGAUAAUCCUUUCCUUCACAUGAGGGAAAGCUGAAAGACGGUUUUGGCUGUCACUUACAGAUGGGCCCGCGGCGCAUUAGCUAGUUGGUGAGGUAACGGCUCACCAAGGCGACGAUGCGUAGCCGACCUGAGAGGGUGAUCGGCCACACUGGGACUGAGACACGGCCCAGACUCCUACGGGAGGCAGCAGUAGGGGAGCUUCCGCAAUGGACGAAAGUCUGACGGGGCAACGCCGCGUGAGCGAUGAAGGCCUUCGGGUCGUAAAGCACUGUUGUCAGAGAAGAACAAGUCGGAGAGUAACUGCUCCGGCCUUGACGGUAUCUGACCAGAAAGCCACGGCUAACUACGUGCCAGCCGCCGCCGUAACAC
rnacentral:rRNA from 1 species